rnacentral:tRNA from 1 species
AAGUAGAGUAAGCUAAGUGCUAAGCUUUUGGGCUCAUACCCCAAGAAUGGAAGGAUAAAAACCUCCCUCUACUUUC